rnacentral:rRNA from 1 species
CGUGGGGAGCAAACAGGAUUAGAUACCCUGGUAGUCCACGCCCUAAACGAUGCACACUAGUUGUUGCGAUGCUAGUCAUUGCAGUAAUGCACUUAACAGAUUAAGUGUGCCGCCUGGGGAGUACGGUCGCAAGAUUAAAACUCAAAGGAAUAGACGGGGACCCGCACAAGCGGUGGAGCAUGUGGUUUAAUUCGAAGAUACACGAAGAACCUUACCUGGGCUUGAUAUCCUUGGAAUCUUGUAGAGAUACGAGAGUGCUAGUUUACUAGAACCAAGAGACAGGUGCUGCACGGCUGUCGUCAGCUCGUGUCGUGAGAUGUUGGGUUAAGUCCCGCAACGAGCGCAACCCUCGUGAUUAGUUGCUAACAGUUCGGCUGAGCACUCUAAUCAGACUGCCUUCGCAAGGAGGAGGAAGGUGAGGACGACGUCAAGUCAUCAUGGCCCUUAUGCCCAGGGCUACACACGUGCUACAAUGGCGCGUACAAAGAGAGGCGAUACCGCGAGGUGGAGCAAAUCUUAAAAACGCGUCUCAGUUCGGAUUGGAGUCUGCAACUCGACUCCAUGAAGCUGGAAUCGCUAGUAAUCGUAGAUCAGAUAUGCUACGGUGAAUACGUUCCCGGGUCUUGUACUCACCGCCCGUCACACCAUGGGAGUUGAAUUCACCCGAAGCCGGAAUACUAAACUAGUUACCGACCACGGUGGGUUCAGCGACUGGGGUGAAGUCGUAACAAGGUAA